CCCUGGGGCAUGUUUUUCACUGGCGUGAGAGGGUAGGCCGAGGAUGAGUCCCCUUUAUUUGGAGGUAAGAUCCUCACUUCUAUUGGCCAUGAAAGCAUCCAUUUGCAUAUUGCAUCUGGGUAAUCGUUGAAACAAUAUCCUUUUUUAUGAUUUUUAUUCUUAGUUGCUUUUACAGUGAUCCUCCAUAUGAAAGGAAGAGCAGGGUAGUGUGGGCGAUGGAAGUCUUUGUAUACCAGGGCAAGCUCCUCCUUCCUCAUUCUCUGAAUUUUAUCAACAUGACCACCAACUAGGUUCUUUGCACAUACUAUGUCGACCACGUGUAUGUGUCAGCUGUAGUCUCAUGUUAAAUUGCAAGUUUAUACUGUUGUCAUUACAGAGGUGUUGUUGUUGAUUUGUUUGAUCUCUUGAACAAUUGAACAGUUUACAGUCACACAUAUCCAGUUGGAAUGCUAUGGCAGUAUUAUUAGCCAGGGAUGAGGCCUUUUGUCUUCUUAAAAAAUGUAGUUGUUUGGAAUUUUGGGAUAAUAUGGAUGGUGCUCUGAUUAAGCUAAAUUAAUGCAUUGCUAAUAUUGGUGCUAGCUAAACAUCCAUGUUGAUUCUCCGGUGUAUGUCCCUGGAGCAGUUUCGACUUGUCAUUUUAGGUGUGUAAGUUCCUGUCUAAUUAGCUAGCUUAGUCAGAUUCCUUUUUGUGAUUGAUGGGGCAGUGGAUGCAAACAUAUCUAUCAAUACCAGCUAGCUGCUUGAGUGAACUUUUAGUUAGAACUGCAGCUACUUGGUGUGUCUCUGACAUAACUUGAUAUGUGCUUUUCUUUGUGUAUAUACGAAUAUGUUUUUCUCUUGGUCAUGGACCAUAUAAGUCACAAGCAAUUUCCGGGCACCACAAGCAAUUGAAUGCCUCAGCUCACCUGUACGUAUGCACUGCUCUGACUGGUCUGUCCUCUGUUUAGAACCAAGCUUAAUUAGCAUAUACAUCCCUUUUGAUUAGCAGCUAACCUCGCUUUAUCCUCGAAAAGCUUGGGGGCUUUUCUGAUUUGAUGGAGUGGUUUGAGUACUUAAACCUGUUUUCUGGCAAUAUAUUUCUUUUUCUCAUGAACAGUUUGAGCAGUUUUCCUUUAUCUUUCAAUUGAAGCAAAAGGCUGGGGUCGCGUCAAUAAAUGAUAUUUUUUCCUUAAGAUGAUAAUAUGCUGCCACCGAAAAAUAUGAUAAUAUUUUGAUAGACAGUUUAUGUCGUCAGUGCCAAUCCAUUUCCAUGUGCACAUAUUCAUACCAUCCUCGGAAUGACCUCCUCAAAAACUUCCAAGUGUAAUUAUCUGUUCGUGCAUACGUGUACGCAGGACUUGGAUCUCGCUUUCUGGCCAGGUGAGAAUGUGAGAUUUUGACCAUGCAUGCGUUCAUGGCAGAUGACAAAUGGACUAUGGAUAAUUUGCUGAACACCAAGUCCGUAGUGGCUUUCAUUUCAAACGUAUGUAUAUAUCGACCCUUUACCCACUAAUUAAUUGAGGAAAAGGAAGAGAUGGAACAUUUCAACUUGGCUCUAUGACACUUGAUAAAUUAUACAAUAAGAUUAAUUUAUUACUAAUAUUUAUUGGCUAGAUAUAUGUAGUGCUGCAUUUAGGCAUGAUCAGGUUCAGGUGACACUGCAUCAGUACUUAAUUCUUAAGAUAUAUGGUUAUUAUUCCGAGAUUCUCCAAAAUUUAUGCCUCAGCUAAACGAGCAUGUUUGUAUAAACUACUCCAUCCUUACUAAAUUGUAAGAUGUUUUUUGUUUUGUGUUGGGCAUAAAAAAUGUCUUACGUUUUGUUACGAAAGGAGUAGCUCUGUGCUUCCACCUCAAAAGAUUGAUGUGUGGCAGGAGACCUGAAUCUAUCCAAUAUUGUGCACAAUGAUAGCUAGCCAGCGAAUGAACGUUCAGUAGUUUUUUUUAUAUUAGACACCCAAGGGCAUCUUAAAACUGAUUAAUAUCGAGGAAAACAAAGAUUUUUUUAUGCCGUCACAAGGAGUAAAGGUACUGAGUUUACAUAUACUCCUUUUGGAUUCUUUUACCAUACGGCUUCACAGUCAUGGCAUGGAUAGGGUUAUCAUUUUUUUAUGUCAUGCAUAACUCCACGGUGCUCAUUGGAACUUGGUAAAACACUCCACCCAACAAAAUUCUUAUCUCUAUCUGAUUUUCUUAUUUGACCACCUUAUGCUUCUUGAUUUUCAUGCCCAACAACUAUCCGGCGGAACUGAGCUCCGCAAACAUUUGAUAAUUUGAACUAGGCUGACUUUUUACUCAAUUUGAAGUGGCUGUUGCCUAUUGAGGUGGGCUAUUUAGAGGCUUAUGGUUUCAAGAAGACAUACAUAAUUCAGCAACCGCAGAUUGUGCUGUUGGUGGACAUUUCAAGUUCAAUAAAACUAUUUGAUAUGGACAUACCUGUUAGUCUAUGAAGCUACCACCCUAGCUACAUUAUUCAGCACCAGAAUAGCACACGAUGUCCAGCUCAGAUUUUGAAAGAGAACACCAUUGACACAUAUCUUAUUUCUUCAUUCUUUUUUUGUAUGUCUUUAUGGACUUAUCGUGUGGUCAUUACAAAUAACCUUAGUGAUUACGUGAAAGGAAGUUGAAAGUUAGUCUAUAGAACAUUUAUAACCAUAACAUAAUCUUGACACUGUCAGUCUUGUACAACUAUACAGUUUCACUUAUUGGAAUGAUUGAGUGAGAGAACUUUGUUAUAUGCUCUUAUGCUCUUUCAUUAGUCAUACUCUAUAUCGGCUCCUUACUGAAUGCUGACUAUCAGUUUAAUAAUUGUGAGUUUUCACCAUGAGUUGUAUGAGGGGGGCUGACUAGCUCUUUUGUAUGCAGGACUUGGUACUGAUACUCUAGAAUACACAUCAAAUGGGCGCUACAUGAUAGUAGGUGGACGAAAAGUGCAUAUUGCAAUGGUGGAUAUGUGGAGUAUGGAACUCAUCAAGGAAUUUCAGGUCAACUUUUCGUAUUAAGCAAUUUGUCAGUAUGUAGGUUUGCUUCUCUUUUGUCCUUUUUUCUCAGUAAAAUGUUCAGUAUUGAGUUUCAGUGCUUUGCUCAUAAAUUAGACUCGCGAGAGUGAUCUUAGUCUGAUCCUCGAUUUUGGUGGAAGUUAGCAGCAUUAAAACUUUGCCCAGACAAUUAUAAACUGAUAAUCUCUAUAUGUUCCUAUCAGGAGGAACGGAGGGAUGUGAUUUGGAAAGAUUGACAUUUCCUGUUUUGAGGAAUGGGAAACACUGAAUUACACACUUUAGAUCUUGCUUGGAACUUUGGUAUGUAAAGCACUCUGUUUGGGUUUGUUGGUAUGCUAACAUAACUAACUGGCUUCGCCUUCUCAUGAACUACGCUGAGGUUAGCUUCUGUUUUUACAUGGGUCAUUCUUUAUCAUCUUUUACAGUGAAAAGUGGCAUUAUGAACUUGAGUGAGAUCUAUAUUGAGCAUAAGUGGGAAAAUAUUCCAUCGGUUGUUACAACAUUACUACUUGGUGGUGCGCUUGGUCCUUUUGAAACUCUACAACUUGUUUUCUGUACAGAACCUAGACUUCAUAGGUGUGAAAGUGGUAAAUGUUCCUUCAUGCCUUUUUUUUGCUUUUGAUAGUGUGAAGUGUGAACUACUUUAUUUUAGGACAAACAUUAGCUAUUGACAUCAGCUUUUCCCAUGUAUCUCAAAAACUAAUUGAUUUCCCUUCAUCGAAAUCUGAUAAUUGAGGGCUCUUCUAUUAUUAAUAUUGAGCGGGUAGCAUCUUGGUUACUAAAUGAAUCAUUCUCAACUCUUUUGUUUUUUGCAG
rnacentral:lncRNA from 1 species